UCCUGCCAGUAGUCAUAUGCUUGUCUCAAAGAUUAAGCCAUGCAUGUGUAAGUAUAAGUAUUGUACAGCGAAACUGCGAAUGGCUCAUUACAUCAGUUAUAGUUUAUUUGAUAUUUGAAAGUUACAUGGAUAACCGUGGCAAUUCUACAGCUAAUACAUGCUUCAAAACCUGACUUCGGAAGGGUUGUAUUUAUUAGAUAUUAAACCAUCCCCUCGGGGCUGUAGAUGAAUCAUAAUAACUGAUCGAAUCGAGGUUCGCCUUGAUAAAUCAUUCAAGUUUCUGCCCUAUCAGCUGUAGAUGGUAGUGUAUUGGACUACCAUGGCUAUUACGGGUAACGGAGAAUUAGGGGUUCGAUUCCGGGAGAGGGAGCCUGAGAAACGGCUACCACAUCUACGGAUGG
rnacentral:rRNA from 1 species